GAUCCCUCACUACGCCAUGGCUGGAGAACUGGUGCUAUCAUUCCUGAGCUGGAGGCUGAGAUUGAACAGCAGAACGACCCUGCAUACAAGUCAGCUGUGAGGUGGCUGGUAUCUCUACAACAACUCAUAGAAAAACAUCAGUGUCAGGACAGCCCUGAACAGAGGGAAGUGAUACAGGCAUGGCUGAAGGAGAGAGAUGAUCUCAGAAACUACACGAAAGGCGUGUUCAAUCCACGGUUUGGCAGUCUGUUUCGGACAUACCACAAUCCAACUUACUUCACUCGACGCCUGGCCCGGUUUGCUGACAUGUACAUGUCGAGUCUGACAAACCUGCUCCACUACUCAGUAGACCACUCCUUCUACCCACACCGAGUGUUGCUGCCACACGAACCAGGCCCCUUCUCCAAGUACUGAGUGGAAACAGUACACUGAAAUAAGCAUGUACUAUCAUGGAUCAGACACAUUGGUAAUUCAGUAUUAAAGUCCUCUUGGAAGUAAUGGCCAAGUAAAAGAGCACAUUGACUUUAUUAGUGAUGUGGAAGCAUUGAUGGUCUACUGCAUGAUUAUAUAGGCCUACUUAUGUCAUUGAAACAUUUCACUAGACGCACCUGUGGACAAUACUGGCAUUAAAGCAUUUAUACUUAACUAGUGCUCGGACCUAAUAUUGACAUUGAAGUAUUCGAUGGACUAUUACCUGGACCUGGUACUGACAUUGAAGUAUUGAUGGUCUUUUGCACUGGUACCUGGACCUAAUACUGACAUUGAAGCACUGAUACUCUACUCCGUUAGUACCUGGCCCUAAUCCUGACAUUGAAGCACUGAUGGUUUACUCCGUUAGUACCUGGCCCUAAAACUGACAUUGAAGCACUGAUGGUCUACUCCGUUAGUACCUGGCCCUAAUACUGACAUUGAAGCACUGAUGGUCUACUCCGUUAGUACCUGGCCCUAAUCCUGACAUUGAAGCACUGAUGGUCUACUCCGUUGGUACCUUGCCCUAAUACUGACAUUGAAGUAUUGAUGGUCUACUGCGUUAGUUCCUGGCGCUAAUACUGACAUUGAAUCAUUGAUGGUGUACUGCAUAAGUAUCACAAUAUUUCUACGAAUCCUCUGAAAUGAUGCCCUUUUUUCUCUGCAAAAGAUCCAAUACUUUUGCCAAGAUAUGUACUUCUGUGUCAAUGUAUGUAAUAUAUUUUACCUAUCCUAAUCAGUGGCGGAUCAUAAGUGUUGACCAAUUAACCCUCAGUUGUAUGAAUCUCAUUAUAACGUGACAAAUGUGACCCUGUUCAUUAUGGUAGCUUGAAGUAGAACAUUUCAGUAUUAAAAAGGACCAAUGGUUGUUGUUUAUCGUACAAUAAAGCACUGCCCCUCAUGGUUUAUUUUCCCUGCAGUGUUUUAUUGAAUGAUAAACAAUGACAAUGACUCAUUCAUUUCUUAUAUGAGAUAUCAACAAUAUGUACGGCCUGUUUAAAAAUGAUGAUAAAAUGUACAAGCUUUAAAAAUAUUUACCCGUAUUUAAAUAAUGAUGACGCCCUCAAUAGAAUGUCCAUUUUAAUAGUCAUGAUCAUCGUCGUUUUUUAAAGAAGAUGUUAGUCAUUAAAUCAAUCUGAUGUGUUAGAUAAUACAUGUGAUACUAAAACAGAUACGUUUAGAACAUUGUGUGUGGUAGCACGUGUUGAUAAUACACUGGAUGUACUCAUCAGCAAAUGAUGCAGAGUGCAUCACAGUAUUAUGAUUCACAGUCUGUCCUCGACAUCAGUUAAUUCAAGGUAUAAGUUUAGUGUAUUAUGAGUUGUUUCCUGAUAACAGAAGAUAUCCCCAUCGUUUUUUUCUGUUAAAAUGGUGAUGAGUCCAUGUGUAGGUAUUAAGACUGUUAUAUAGAUCCCUAACUUACUCAACAUUCAUGUAUAUAUGCAUUAGAAUCUUGUAUAUUGUUUUUUUUUCAAAUUUUUAUUUUAUUUUAUGAGAUCAGCAGAAAUCAAAUGCAAUAAUAGAAGUCAACACAACUUUAUCUUUGUUAGAUUACUUGGUUCAUGGAUGACAAAACAAUUCAACUGUUCUCAAAAACAUUAAUUGAAAAUCGAAAGUUUUACUACUUUACACUAUUGACCUACUUUGAUGUUUCCUUUGCUCAUCCCUGCCAUUGUUAAAAUCGGGUCAUAAGGAGUAAAUUAGCUGUACCUCGAGCGUAUCCUAACAAACAGCUACAAUGGUGAUAAGUCUCUGUGAUUUUGUGCCCGACUGGUUUGGAUCCUUGCUCAUACUUCAGUCACUGGUUUGCAUGGUCGAAACUAGAUAAUAAUAACCCACAACUGUAGGUCUGUUUACCUCAUGCUGUGGAGGUAAACACGAUUCACUUAGUCACAUUCAGUUCUGGAAGUAGUUGGCAAAUAAAUCAGUAAGGAAAACGACCUUAGAAGAUCUUGUUUGGAAAUGGUUUUCAUCAACUUGUGCUUCUCGUCAGAGGUAUCAGUGAUUGUCGUCGAGGUGACAUACAGAUGUCAUGCUCACUGACUUGGUUUAUGCAUGUCAUCAUAUCCCAAUUGCGUAGAUCAAUGCUCAUGACGUCAAUACCUCGAUUGUCGGGUCCAUACUUGAUUAUUUACAGCUGGGAUAUUGCUGAGUGCGGCAUGAAACAAACAAACUAAUAAAAACAGGUGUUAUUUUAGAUUAUCAUUUCUUUAUGUAAACCAAGCAAUUGAAAAUACCAUUUUGCUCUAACAAACUAUGAAUUGUAUUAAGUCUGUGAUAUGUUUUAGAAAAGUGUGAUUUAUGUGUGAUUGUUUGAAGACUGUCGAGCUGACUUUUAAGUUAAGGAUAAGUUAAGUUGUAGUUUAGGCUUCUUUUUUAAGCAACGUUUUUGUUGCCAUUAGUUAUUAUUUCAGCCAAAAAUUUGUUAUGCAUAUGCUGGUACUUCAUGCAUUGCAGUUUGUUUUAUUGUAGGAUGAU
rnacentral:misc_RNA from 1 species